rnacentral:rRNA from 1 species
AUGCAAGUCGAACGAAGUAGCAAUACUUAGUGGCAGACGGGUGAGUAACAUGUAGGUAUCUUCCCUUUGGUGAGGAAUAACACGAGGAAACUUGUGCUAAUACCUCAUAAGUCUUUACGGAGAAAGCUUUAUGCGCCAUUGGAUGAGCCUGCACUUGAUUAGUUUGUUGGUGGGGUAAUGGCUUACCAAGACAAUGAUCAAUAGCUGAUUUGAGAGGAUGAUCAGCCACAUUGGGACUGAGACACGGCCCAAACUCCUACGGGAGGCAGCAGUAGGGAAUCUUGCACAAUGGGGGAAACCCUGAUGCAGCGAUGCCGCGUGAGUGAAGAAGGCCUUUGGGUUGUAAAGCUCUUUCGUCGGGGAAGAAAAUGACUGUACCCGAAUAAGAAGGUCCGGCUAACUUCGUGCCAGCAGCCGCGGUAAUACGAAGGGACCUAGCGUAGUUCGGAAUUACUGGGCUUAAAGAGUUCGUAGGUGGUUAAAAAAGUUGGUGGUGAAAUCCCAGAGCUUAACUCUGGAACUGCCAUCAAAACUUUUUAGCUAGAGUAUGAUAGAGGAAAGCAGAAUUUCUAGUGUAGAGGUGAAAUUCGUAGAUAUUAGAAAGAAUACCAAUUGCGAAGGCAGCUUUCUGGAUCAUUACUGACACUGAGGAACGAAAGCAUGGGUAGCGAAGAGGAUUAGAUACCCUCGUAGUCCAUGCCGUAAACGAUGUGUGUUAGACGUUGGAAAUUUAUUUUCAGUGUCGCAGCGAAAGCAAUAAACACACCGCCUGGGGAGUACGACCGCAAGGUUAAAACUCAAAUGAAUUG